GCGACGCACAGAAUUCUACACUUAGCCUAGCCUAUAAAUAAGGUCCUGGUAACUGGUAACCAUUGAAUUCAUUGAAUUGCAUUCGUAGAGGCAGACAGUUGUUGUACACACCGCUCUCCCGCUGUCGAUCGAGUAUUUCAAAUACUGACGUGGUAAUCUCUGGUCAUCUUCUGACAAAAAUAAAUGGAUCAAAGGCACCAAGGAGGCAGCGCUGUGUUUUGAAAUUGAAGGAAAAUAGACCAUGUGUUACUAGCCAAUGUUAUGUCUACAUUACACAUUAAACUUUUUAUGACGAAAGGCCGGUGCACACUGUUUGUUUCUGAGAGUAAGAGACUGAUUUUGGAGUAGUGCCAAAUGUUCCAGAGACUUAUGAGACUUCCAGAAAAAAAGUGGUAAUGGAAAAGAAUAACAAAGGCCCCAGGAUGUUUUACAGAAAUGCCUAUCAUGGAAGGGGGAAAGGUCAGAAUGCAAGUCACAGAGGUGGACGUUGGGGGUCAUCAUACGGUGCUGCUUGUCUUUAUGAAGAGCUAGGAGGACAAGACCAGAGUGUAAACCACCAAAGAGGAGGAUGGAGAGGAGGAGGAAGGGGAGGAGGAGGAAGAGGGAGAGGAGGAAGAUUUGAUCAGGCUGGUUUUCGUCUAGAUGUAGGGCCUGAUGACUUUGAAAGAUUGUCAAGGGGACAAAGAAGAAGAGAAUGGGGUUCGUUUGAUGAGAUGGAACCAACUGGAGAACAAGGCUGGGCUAGAGACCAUUGGACGGAAAUAGGAUGGGGACCAUUUGUCAAGACUGGCCCCAACCAGGAAGGAGGAUGGGGUGGAGGUAGAAGUUUUGCAAAGGGAACAGGACAAGGAAGGGGUGGCAUUGACCCAAGGGGACGAGGACAGGGAUCAUCUGACGGAGAUUUCCGAUGUCAAGAGAGACGGAAUAGUCAACCCUGCUGCAGAAGUUAUUCAAAAAGUACAAAAUCUGCAGAAUAUGCUGUACGCCGUGAUGAGGCUCUACCCCGUUCUGCCUACAUUUCUCAGGAAGUCAAUCGGUCUCCCUCGUCUUUGAUGCCACCUGCUACAGUCCAAAACCUCUCCAAGGCUUCUGCCGGAGACAAGGAGUGUAUUACACAGAAGAGAGGAAGAUGGAGAGGAAAGUCCAAUGACAAAAAGUACAAGGACAAUGGUUUUGUUGGUGGUCAGAGUCACAGUUGUGUGGACCUUUCCACUGUGGGGCAGAGGCAGAGUAAUCCUGAGGGAUGUCAGAGAACAUCGAAGGUAAAAGAUAGUGAGCCAAACAGCUCUCAGAGGAUGAAGACAGAAGCUAGUUUGCAAGUCAAAGACUCUUUUACAGAUGCAGAAAGUGUCAAGAAUGUUAUCCUAGAAAACUUUUCAAAAAGGGAGAACUUGGAACUGGAAUUUGUGGAAGACAGUAUCGUGUCUACAAGAGAACGCACAGCAUGUUCUGUUAUACUUUACCACAGGGAAAAUCUAUCUGGAGGGUCGGUAUUUGCAGAGUUAUGCAAAACAAUGAAAGAUAAAGUGAACACUGAAGUCACAUAUUAUAUUUCACGUACUUACAAAGAAGAUGGCGUCAAGAACACUGACUCUGAAAAUGAAGAGAGUGAUAAUUUGGACGCCUCACAGAGCGCAAAGACUAUAACGUAUAAGAAUAAGAAACGAAGAAGCCGACGGACAAGUAAAGUGAAUGCAAAAGGGGAUGUCAAUACUGAUACUUCUUCACAGAACAAAAGUGGACCUCCAGCUAAACCUGUGCCAUCUCCUGUACCGACCACUCUGAGUAUUCGUAUUGAGAAAAGUUUCAAGGAUACUGACUCUGUCCGACAAUAUCUCCUUGAAAAAAUUGAAAAGGAGAAGUAUUCUUUUGAAAUUGUACCGAACAGCAUUAAUAUCCACAAGUUUGAAACUUAUUGUGAAUUGAAAAUGCCCAGUAAAGCUGCUGCUGAGAGGUUAAGGAACCUACUGAAUGGCUGCAAAGAAGUGAAAAUUUUUAAUGGCAACAAGCUGAAGAAAGCUAUAAGUGAUGCUCAGAGAAACAGUAUGAAGCGGGAAAUUCAGAGUGCAUCAGCUUUGAUUUCUUCUCAUCUUACACAGCAUGAUGAGAAAAUCAAGAAGUUUGAAGACUCCAUAGCUAACUUGGAACGAAAAUCUGGCAAGCAUCUUUCAUGCAGAAGUGAAAGUGAAAGUUUGGCUUUGAAAGACAAACUGGAAGAAGCAGCGUGCCAGAAAGACACAUUCCAGGAACAAUGUACUAAGAUGAUUAGCCUGUUAGAAGAUCUCAGUACAUCAACAAUGUCUUGUGAAGAUCAGUGGACUAAGCUGCUUCGUUCUAUUAGCAUUGAGUGUAAGAAGCUGUCAAAUGCCCUGCCCAUGUAUGCUCGCAGGAAUGACAUUCUUAAUGUGAUCUCUGCCAACAAAGUCUCUGUCGUGCUCGGGGAGACUGGCUCAGGGAAAAGCACACAAAUGGCUCAAUAUAUAUAUGAGUCGGACAUUAAUGGAGAAGGUAUGAUUGUUUGCACACAGCCAAGGAAGAUAGCUGCUCGCACUCUCGCUGAAAGGGUUGCCUUUGAACUUGUGAGCAAAGUUGGGAAUCUGGUUGGGUACAAAACAGGUGCUCAAAAAUGUAUGGGGCCUAUGACAAAGAUUGUCUUUACCACAGAUCAUUCGUUGCUCAAUGAGUUCCUGAAAGACCCUGAUCUGCGCGCCUACUCUUGCAUCAUAGUUGAUGAGGCUCAUGAACGAAGUAUUUACACAGACAUUUUGCUGGGCAUGAUCAAAUCCUGUUCAGAACGGCGGCCUGAGUUGAAAGUUAUCAUUACUUCUGCUACUAUCAAUCCAGAGAUUUUCAUCAACUACUUUCCAAACAAGCCAACUUUGCUUCAAGUCUCCGGGAGGACUUUUCCUGUCAACGUGGUUUACGAGAGUGCAGAUGAAACCCAAGAUUUUGAAAACAUAGAAGAAAAGGCAGUGUCCAAAGUUGUGAGUAUCCAUAAGAGUAAAGUACCAGGAGACAUCCUUGUAUUUCUGACGUCAGCUGUUGAAAUAAUGCGUUGCUGUGAAGAAACUAAAAAGAGACUGAAAGAUCCUGAGAAGUAUCGAUGUUUACCUCUUCAUGGUCAGCUUCCCGCAGAAGAGCAACAGGAAGUUUUCAAACAGCUUGAUGUCGGGGUGAGGAAGAUUGUCUUUGCAACAAACUGUGCAGAGACCUCAGUGACGAUUGAUGGAAUCAAAUUUGUCAUUGACCCAGGCGUAGCCAAGGAGAUGAAGUAUGACCCCAAGAAAAACAUCAGCCUUUUGGGAACUCACAUUAUUAGCCAGAGCUCAGCCAAUCAGAGAAAAGGAAGAGCUGGUCGCACAGCCAGUGGCACCUGUUACCGCCUGUACACUGAGCAAAGCUUUCUUUCCAUGGCAACCAGCUCUGAACCGGAGAUUCUCCGUGUUCAUUUAGGACAGGCUGUUUUAAAACUGGCAGAACUUGGUGUUAAUGCCAGAAGCUAUGACUUUGUGGAGCCACCAAGCAGAGAAGCUCUUGACACUGCUGUCAGCACUCUGAGAGAAAUUGGUGCUUUGCUGGGUGAUAGCAUUACUGAAACUGGUCGGUUUAUCUCUAGAUUACCCUUUGAUCCUAGACAAGGACUAUUGGUGUUCCUUGGACACAAGGACCAUUUACUGUACGAUGCUGUUGUAAUUGCUGCGUUACUCAGCAAUGGCUCAGACAUAUUUUACAGGGGACUCACUGACGUGGAGGAGCAGAAUUCAGCUAGGAAUAAGAAUCAGUUUGCUUCCCAGUUUGGAGAUCCUUUCACCUGGUUCAACGUUUACAAAGAAUGGUCCUCUGCUCCAAAGAAACAGCAGUCAGCAUGGUGUAAGGAGCACAGCGUCAACAACAAGGUGAUGAACUACACAAGACAAUGUGUCAGAGAUGUUGCUGAUGUUUUGCGUAAAGAGCACAGGAUUCACAUGGAAGAAAACUUUUCAGACUCAGAGACAGCUGUAGACCGCUUAAGGAAGAUGAUCUUCACAGCAAACCUGUCAAUGGUUGGCCAUUUUCUGGGUCAUCAACGGGCUGGUUACUAUGCCACCGGGAUUCAGCGCCAGGUGCAUUUUCAUCCUUCGUCUUCUUUAAUGAGUCAAAAUGCAUAUCCAGAAUGGAUUGUAUACUCACAGUUUGUCAAGACGUCUCGAGACUUUAUCAAAGGCAUCACUGUCAUCGAUGAGGCAUGGGUUCAGGAAUCUGUGAAUGAAAAACAGUUGGCGAUUGAUAUUGCUGAGGUCAAAGGAAAGCAAGCACGCCUUGUUCACAGAGAGGAAGCUGGAACAAUUGUCUUCAGGGCUCUGGUCGGGCCACGCUUUCAAAACCUGAUGGUUCUGGAGGGCUGCUUUGUGAAGGUUGGGAUGGAAACUGUAGUUGUAGAAGCAAACCGUGAUCUCGGAACUGUAGAUGUUUUUUCAUCUAGCCCUUGCAACCAACACGUCAUUACAAUUUUCAACAGCUACAAGAAGAUGACUCUUCAGGAACUGCAAAGUCGAGAGCAGGAAUUUUCUGUAAAUAAAUCAUCUAAGAAGGAGCAAGGUGGGUGCAGAGUGAUGCUUGGACAAGGUGCUGAGGUCAAAUUAGUUCUUAUGCCUGGACAAAGCACUAAAGUCUUGAUAAAAAAUGCUCCUGACACAAGCACUGUGGAAGAUGUAAGGGACAUAUUUUCUGUAUAUGGUCAAAUAAAGGAUUGUUUCCGUUUCAAAUGUGAAGAUCCUUGGGGUCUGGUUCGGUUUGCUACCUGUUCAGAAGCAGAGAAAGCUGCGAAUGAAACCAAGGAUGAUGAAGUGAACACUGCAGUGUUGUUGAAAACUGAUGGGCAAAGGCAGCAGAAGGCGCCGCAGUUUCAGGCUCGUCUUUCUUGGUACCGACGACCUGUGAAAGGAAGAGGCACAGCAUUCAUCAAAUGCCAGGCCGAUGUGAAAAAGUGUCUUCUUUUUCAACCAAUACUACUGAAUUUGGGAACAUGUACAAUCAAAGAGAGUAACAAAGGUGAGGAUUUGGUUGUCUUCAAUACAGGGCACACUUCAGAAGAUAUUAUCAAAGACAGAAUUUUGGAGUUACUGAGACGGAGAGGUAAGAUUCAUAAAAGUCUGGAGGAUGAAAUUCGUGUUUUUGUUGUUCGGGAAAAUAAAGUUGCUCCAACAGAAGAAGAAAUGAGUAUGCUAGAAACUGCAGUGCUCAGUAAGUUUGAUAUGCACCUCCAGUCUCGCUGGGACACAUGCACUGUUGACCUGAAAUAUCCAAGGGAUAAAGACGUCAAAACAAAUUGGCUUUGUAUAUUUCAACAACCCAGUGUCUGGCUUCCGUGCAUGUCAGCGUCUACAAGGCAUCCUCAGUGUGGAUGGUCAACCAGUAGAAAUAAGCCCCAAACUGAAGACAAGUAUCCAUAUUCCACGCAAGAUUAUGGAAGCCAGCAAGCUCCGAUUUGUUGAUCACAUUCAAGGCUUGAAAAGAUAUAAAGCAACUGAGGUGACAAUUGUGCCUCUAAAGCAAGGAGAUUUCCGGUUAGACAUUUCUUCACCGAAAGCCAAGUGCAUUGUUGUGGCCAGAGAAGUCUUUCAGACUGAGCUAGAGGGAGAUGUUAUUGAGUGUGGGAGGUCUGCACUGCUUGAAUGUCUCCUCUCACGGCAGGGACUCCAGGAAGUUCACAAAGUGGAGGAAUCAGCUGAUGUGCUCAUUGUUGUUAAUCAAAGGGAAAAACAGCUGCACUUCUAUGGUCAGGACGAAAAAAUGAGCAAGGCGAAAAUAGUCUUAAACACGUAUCUGAGCAGACUGGCUGAUGGGAGAGAAGAAUGCAUUAACCUGAAAGGCCAAACCCGCCCUCCAGGUUUGAUGAAAGCACUGCUGCUCAAACACGGACAUACACUGGACGGACUUCAGAAUGAGUUCCAACUAAACAGUGUUAAAAUUGAUUUUAAACUUCAAAAAGUCUCCCUUGCAGGGAAAGAUGAAGCUUUGAGAAACUGUAUUAUGAGUAUUGAAGAACUUUCCAGAGAUAUUGCUGAGCGCUCAAAUGCACAGUCUGACACGGAGCUGCCCGACUGUGUGGUGUGCAUGUGUCCAGUGGAGACCAGCUCUGAUCUGUAUCGCCUGGAGGGUUGUGGACACGGGUAUUGCACGGUGUGCAUCAAGCUGCAAGUCAGUGUGUCGGUGCAGGACAAGCAGUUCCCUAUGUCCUGUGCCCGCGAGGGAUGUGGCCAACUUCUGGUUUGGAAAGACAUUGAUUUUUUCCUCAAAAAGAAAUGGAUAACAGGGGACAAACUUGUUCAGAUGGCUCUGAAUGCUUAUGUAGAGCAACAGCCUGACAAAUACAAGUUUUGCUCCACUCCAAACUGCCCUGUUGUGUAUGAAGUGACGCAUGAGCCGCAAGGUUGUGUGUUCACCUGUCCGUCGUGUUACGCCAGCGUCUGUUCUUCUUGCAACAAGGCUUCCCAUGCUGGACUUACUUGUGAGAUGGCAAAGAGCUUGAGUAAUGCGGAGAAAGAACUGGAACGUUGGACGAAGGAAAACCCAGGGAAACGCAAAAUCUGCCCUGGAUGCAGGGGCCCGGUUGAAAAGAUUGAGGGCUGCAACAAAAUGCGCUGCUCGUGUUGCAAGGUUAUCUUUUGCUGGUUGUGUCUGAAACGCUUUCCUACAGAAAAACUUUGCUAUGAUCACCUGAGCUCUGCACAUGGAAGCUUUUACUAACAGAAGAAAACCAGAUUUGUUUUUUGUUUGUUUCCUCAAUUGCCAAGCUUAACACAUCUUGUACUGACUUGUUCAUUUGCUUAUCUUUACUUGACUUGAAGUUGAAAACCUUUCUCCAACUGCUGACUUUGGAAUGUUGAUUUUUCUGUUUGUAGCCUUAUUUUUUUCUGAAGAAUUUGACCACAAAGUGAUUUGAUUGUUACAAAGUAUUCUUGGGAUUUUUUUGUUUACAAUGUGUGCUUGAAAGAUUUUUUUUGUCUUUUUCAGAUGUUGCAUGAUUGUGGUUGUUCUAAGUGUAAAUAAAAUGCUAAUGCUUUUUAUUGUGCUUUC